rnacentral:rRNA from 1 species
UACGUAGGGGGCAAGCGUUGUCCGGAAUCAUUGGGCGUAAAGCGCGCGUAGGCGGCCCUGUAAGUCCGUUGUGAAAGUCAAAGGCUCAACCUUUGAAAGCCGAUGGAUACUGCAGGGCUAGAGUCCGGAAGAGGCGAGUGGAAUUCCUGGUGUAGCGGUGGAAUGCGCAGAUAUCAGGAGGAACACCCGUGGCGAAGGCGGCUCUCUGGGACGGUACUGACGCUGAGACGCGAAAGCGUGGGGAGCGAACAGG